AGGACGAACGCUGGCGGCGUGCUUAACACAUGCAAGUCGAGCGGAAAGGCCCUUCGGGGUACUCGAGCGGCGAACGGGUGAGUAACACGUGAGCAACCUGCCCUUAGCUCCGGGAUAGCUCCGGGAAACCGGAAUUAAUACCGGAUACGACCACGGCCGACAUCUGCUGUGGUGGAAAGGAUUCCGGCUAAGGAUGGGCUCGCGGCCUAUCAGCUAGUUGGUGGGGUAAUGGCCCACCAAGGCGACGACGGGUAGCCGGCCUGAGAGGGCGACCGGCCACACUGGGACUGAGACACGGCCCAGACUCCUACGGGAGGCAGCAGUGGGGAAUAUUGCGCAAUGGGCGAAAGCCUGACGCAGCGACGCCGCGUGGGGGAUGGAAGGCCUUCGGGUUGUAAACCCCUUUCAGCAGGGACGAAGCGAAAGUGACGGUACCUGCAGAAGAAGCGCCGGCUAACUACGCGCCAACAGCCGC
rnacentral:rRNA from 1 species